ACGCGAGGAACCUUACCAGGUCUUGACAUCCUCUGACAACCCUAGAGAUAGGGCGUUCCCCUUCGGGGGACAGAGUGACAGGUGGUGCAUGGUUGUCGUCAGCUCGUGUCGUGAGAUGUUGGGUUAAGUCCCGCAACGAGCGCAACCCUUGUCCUUAGUUGCCAGCAUUCAGUUGGGCACUCUAAGGAGACUGCCGGUGACAAACCGGAGGAAGGUGGGGAUGACGUCAAAUCAUCAUGCCCCUUAUGACCUGGGCUACACACGUGCUACAAUGGAUAGAACAAAGGGCAGCGAAGCCGCGAGGUCAAGCAAAUCCCAUAAAUCUAUUCUCAGUUCGGAUUGUAGGCUGCAACUCGCCUACAUGAAGCCGGAAUCGCUAGUAAUCGCGGAUCAGCAUGCCGCGGUGAAUACGUUCCCGGGCCUUGCACACACCGCCCGU
rnacentral:rRNA from 1 species